rnacentral:rRNA from 1 species
UGCUAAUACCGCAUAACCAUGAACACCGCAUGAUGUUCAUGUAAAAGACGGCUUUUGCUGUCACUUUUGGAUGGGCCUGCGGCGUAUUAACUUGUUGGUGGGGUAACGGCCUACCAAGGUGAUGAUACGUAGCCGAACUGAGAGGUUGAUCGGCCACAUUGGGACUGAGACACGGCCCAAACUCCUACGGGAGGCAGCAGUAGGGAAUCUUCCACAAUGGACGAAAGUCUGAUGGAGCAACGCCGCGUGAAUGAAGAAGGCCUUCGGGUCGUAAAAUUCUGUUGUCAGAGAAGAACGUGCGUGAGAGUAACUGUUCACGUAUUGAUGGUAUCUGACCAGAAAGCCACGGCUAACUACGUGCCAGCAGCCGCGGUAAUACGUAGGUGGCGAGCGUUGUCCGGAUUUAUUGGGCGUAAAGGGAACGCAGGCGGUCUUUUAAGUCUGAUGUGAAAGCCUUCGGCUUAACCGAAGUAGUGCAUUGGAAACUGGAAGACUUGAGUGCAGAAGAGGAGAGUGGAACUCCAUGUGUAGCGGUGAAAUGCGUAGAUAUAUGGAAGAACACCAGUGGCGAAAGCGGCUCUCUGGUCUGUAACUGACGCUGAGGUUCGAAAGCGUGGGUAGCAAACAGGAUUAGAUACCCUGGUAGUCCACGCCGUAAACGAUGAGUGCUAAGUGUUGGAGGGUUUCCGCCCUUCAGUGCUGCAGCUAACGCAUUAAGCACUCCGCCUGGGGAGUACGGUCGCAAGACUGAAACUCAAAGGAAUUGACGGGGGCCCGCACAAGCGGUGGAGCAUGUGGUUUAAUACGAAGCAACGCGAAGAACCUUACCAGGUCUUGACAUCUUCUGACAAUUCCAGAGAUGGAACGUUCCCUUCGGGGACAGAAUGACAGGUGGUGCAUGGUUGUCGUCAGCUCGUGUCGUGAGAUGUUGGGUUAAGUCCCGCAACGAGCGCAACCCUUAUUGUCAGUUGCCAUCAUUAAGUUGGGCACUCUGGCGAGACUGCCGGUGACAAACCGGAGGAAGGUGGGGAUGACGUCAAAUCAUCAUGCCCCUUAUGACCUGGGCUACACACGUGCUACAAUGGACGGUACAACGAGUCGCUAACUCGCGAGGGCAAGCUAAUCUCUUAAAGCCGUUCUCAGUUCGGAUUGCAGGCUGCAACUCGCCUGCAUGAAGUCGGAAUCGCUAGUAAUCGCGAAUCAGCAUGUCGCGGUGAAUACGUUCCCGGCC